UACGUAGGGUGCAAGCGUUAAUCGGAAUUACUGGGCGUAAAGCGUGCGCAGGCGGCUUUGCAAGACAGAUGUGAAAUCCCCGGGCUUAACCUGGGAACUGCAUUUGUGACUGCAAAGCUAGAGUGCGGCAGAGGGGGAUGGAAUUCCGCGUGUAGCAGUGAAAUGCGUAGAUAUGCGGAGGAACACCGAUGGCGAAGGCAAUCCCCUGGGCCUGCACUGACGCUCAUGCACGAAAGCGUGGGGAGCAAACAGG
rnacentral:rRNA from 1 species